CAGCCGUAAACAAUGUGCGUUAGGUGUGUCGGUAACCACGCGUUACUGAUGCGCCGAAGAGAAAUCGUGAAACGCACCACCUGGGAAGUACGGUCGCAAGGCUGAAACUUAAAGGAAUUGGCGGGGGAGCACCCAACAGGUGGAGCCUGCGGUUUAAUUGGAUUCAACGCCGGACAUCUCACCGGAUAAGACAGCUGAAUGAUUGUCAAUCUGAAGGUUUUACAUGACUAGCUGAGAGGAGGUGCAUGGCGUCAGUGACU
rnacentral:rRNA from 1 species